UACAGAGGGGGCAAGCGUUGUUCGGAAUUACUGGGCGUAAAGGGCGCGUAGGCGGCCUUCUAAGUCGAACGUGAAAUCCCUGGGCUCAACCCAGGAACUGCGUCCGAGACUGGGAGGCUAGAAUCCGGGAGAGGGAUGUGGAAUUCCAGGUGUAGCGGUGAAAUGCGUAGAUAUCGAGAGGAACACCUGCGGCGAAGGCGGGUUGCUGGGCUGACACUGACGCUGAGGCGCGAAAGCUAGGGGAGCGAACGGG
rnacentral:rRNA from 1 species